rnacentral:rRNA from 1 species
AUUGAACGCUGGCGGCAGGCCUAACACAUGCAAGUCGAACGGUAACAGGAAGCAGCUUGCUGCUUCGCUGACGAGUGGCGGACGGGUGAGUAAUGUCUGGGAAACUGCCUGAUGGAGGGGGAUAACUACUGGAAACGGUAGCUAAUACCGCAUAACGUCGCAAGACCAAAGAGGGGGACCUUAGGGCCUCUUGCCAUCGGAUGUGCCCAGAUGGGAUUAGCUAGUAGGUGGGGUAACGGCUCACCUAGGCGACGAUCCCUAGCUGGUCUGAGAGGAUGACCAGCCACACUGGAACUGAGACACGGUCCAGACUCCUACGGGAGGCAGCAGUGGGGAAUAUUGGACAAUGGGCGCAAGCCUGAUGCAGCCAUGCCGCGUGUAUGAAGAAGGCCUUCGGGUUGUAAAGUACUUUCAGCGGGGAGGAAGGGAGUAAAGUUAAUACCUUGGCUCAUUGACGUUACCCGCAGAAGAAGCACCGGCUAACUCCGUG